UGAGCCAAGUUUAGGGUUUCUUAAAAACCCAAAGAUGUUUGAACUGAAGAGUUUGAUCAUGGCUCAGAUUGAACGCUGGCGGCAGGCCUAACACAUGCAAGUCGAGCGGUAGAGAGAAGCUU
rnacentral:rRNA from 1 species